AGGCCGUGGUUCAGUGGUAAAGCAACUGCCUUGCAUGCAGUGGGUCACAGGUUCGGUUCCUGGCAUCCCUG